AACUUUAUAGUCAAUAAUAAUUAUGAUAUUAGAUUGCAAAUCUAAAGUAGUUUAAAUACUAAAGUUU
rnacentral:tRNA from 1 species